AGGGAGAGGUGUGGGGGAAGCUCUGCUUCACCUGUGGGGCCACAGAAGGCAGGACUCAGGGAUGGACUCCACCAUGGCCUGGUCCCCUCUCCUGCUUACCCUCCUGGCUCACUACACAGGGUCCUGGGCCCAGGCUGUGCUGACUCAGCCGCCCUCAGUGUCUGGGAACCUAGGACAGACCGUCACCAUCUCCUGCACUGGAAGCAGCACCAACAUUGGGGGUGGUUAUAGUGUGAGCUGGCUCCAACAGGUCCCAGGAAAACCCCCUAAAAUCGUCAUCUAUGAUACUAGCGGUAGACCCUCGGGGAUCCCCAACCGCUUCUCUGGCGCCAAGUCUGGCAGCUCAGCCACCCUGACCAUCAGUGGGCUGCAGGCUGAGGAUGAGGCCGACUAUUACUGCUCAUCAUGGGACAAGAGUCUCAGUGGUUGGAGUGCGGCGAAGGGACCCAGUGAGCGGCUGGUCACACUCAGCACCCAGAGCAAGUUCCCUCCUCAGGGCCCUCCACGGGGACAGGUCCACUUCGCUCUCAGAUCCAGGCCCUGUGGCCUCUGCUCCGCAGUGGUCCCCACGCUCUCCUCGGCAGGAUUCUGUGGUACUUCCGCUGGACCACCGCCCAUGGAGGAGGCCUGA